UGCGGGAUUUGCAAACUACUCACUUGCAGUUGCAAAUCGUUCUCUUUUUCAAAAUAAGUUAUUAUAAUUUAGUUCGGCUGGGGAAUUAUUUGGGGGGAAGAAAUUGACUACUUCCGAUGGAAACUUUGACACGUUCUUAUUAAAGGAUAAUCCAAUUCCUAGUUCCGGUCAUUAAUAUAGGAUUCGGUAUAAGGUUAGUGAGACAUUUCCUACCGAGUUAGGAGAUCCAUCCAUCUCAACUCUUCACAUUCAUCUGUGUAAGCUAAUUUUAUAAAUAAGUUAUUCCACUAUUUUGUAUCCAGUUGAUUUCCAUUUUUACAAUUAUUUAUGUUAUUUAUGAUUUGUAAUUUUAUCAAAUAAAUAACC